CCGGCGCACGGGUGAGUAACGCGUAUCCAACCUGCCCACCACUUGGGAUAACCUUGCGAAAGUAAGACUAAUACCCAAUGAUAUCUCUAGAAGACAUCUGAAAGAGAUUAAAGAUUCAUCGGUGAUGGAUGGGGAUGCGUCUGAUUAGCUUGUUGGCGGGGUAACGGCCCACCAAGGCAACGAUCAGUAGGGGUUCUGAGAGGAAGGUCCCCCACAUUGGAACUGAGACACGGUCCAA
rnacentral:rRNA from 1 species